GAACACAAAAUGGCGACACGUGGUUAGCAUUCGUCGCCAACGAGAAAUUGGGGUCGGCCCGAAAGCUCUAGAAUGCACCCCUCUUCCUCCCCGGGGCCUUCCACCUCCGCGAGUUUUAUGACUUAAAAAAGCCCACAGGCUGGUCUGAAGAGGAAGACAAACAUAAAGAUGAAGUGCUUAAUUCAAGGUCACACAAUGUCGGGGAUGGACCUCCAGAUUUCCUUACUGGUGAGACGUGGUCUUGUAACACAGUGGUUAAGAAUGUGACUUUGGAGCCAGCCUGCUAGGGGCUGAAUUCUGACUCAGCCAUUUACUAACUGUGUGACCUUAGGUCACAGAAUUUUCCACACUCCUUGACAGAGGUGCUUAACCCUUAUCCAUCAGCAUUCUCAGACAGCACCUCCGGUUAGGGACAGUAUCUGACCGUCCGACAUCCCUGCAGCCCCCAUGUGUCACACAGACUCAGCCUCAGGUAGAUGGUUUCCGUAGAUGGUGGCUUUCUUUGGACCCUUGACAUCAACCAGUUACUAUUUGGGCCACACAUAACAAAUAGAAGCAGAGCAAGCCCUGGAACUCCUGCCUGACAGUGACACGACGACAGAAACAUCUUACCAGUCAGAGGACCAUGAGAAAUAGAUUCAAGGAGCAUUCCACGUGCAAGUGAGUCUUGGCCCCAUCUGCCUUUGGAUUUUAGCCGUGAACUGGAAGGUAUUGGAAAGAAGACCCUCAGAAAUAGCUUAAUCAAAAUCCCUGCGUCUGAACCAAGUGCCUUAUUUCUCUGUGGGCCUCAAGCUUCGCUGACAUCUGUGGAGCACACUGUCCUAACAGGAGUGCUGUCUGAUUUCCCAACGCUCUGCAAAACAAACAGCCUGGAAGGGUGGCUGGUGGAAGGUGGUUUUUAGAGAGAGACUUGUAGAUAACAGGAAAGUGAAGGCUGUAAGGAAGGUUGUAAUUAAACAGCACAUGGAAACACAAUCACAUUAUUGUCCCAUUCCAUAGGGAUAAUGAUGACCACUUCAGUGGGAAAAGGAGAGGUUUUAAGUCAUUAGGGACUAUGGGCCACCUUUUAGGAAGAUUUAUUUUCAAAGGUUAAAAUAGUGUUUUGGCAAUUCAAGUUUCAUUUUCAGAAAAUGUAAUUGAUGGGAACCUCAGUGACUCUGGAUGAAUAAGAUGCUGUUGAGUGGCUCUGACUUGGGCCAGCCGUGCUUCUCACAGGACCUUGGAGACCAAGGUCACUGUGAUCUCAGGUUCAGGGGGCAAGUCCUCUCCACACAGCCCUAGUUGGCCUCACAGCUGAAAAUGUCUCCCUUACUGUUGGACUCCUUUGUUCACCCACAUGAGUUUGUGAAUAAAUCCUUUCCAGUC
rnacentral:lncRNA from 1 species